GACGGGGGGUCCAAGCGUUGUUCGGAAUCAUUGGGCGUAAAGCGGGCGUAGGUGGCCAUGUAAGUCAGGAGUGAAAGCCCUGGGCUCAACCCAGGAAGUGCUCUUGAUACUGCGUGGCUUGAAUGUGGGAGAGGGGCGUGGAAUUCCGGGUGUAGUGGUGAAAUGCGUAGAGAUCCGGAGGAACCCCAGAGGCGAAGGCGGCGCCCUGGCUCGCAACUGACGCUCAGACACGACAGCAUGGGGAGCGAACGGG
rnacentral:rRNA from 1 species